UACAGAGGGUGCGAGCGUUAAUCGGAAUUACUGGGCGUAAAGGGCGCGUAGGUGGUUAAUUAAGUCAGAUGUGAAAUCCCCGGGCUUAACCUGGGAAUGGCAUUUGGGACUGCAAGGCUGGAGUGCGGCAGAGGAGACUGGAAUUCCUGGUGUAGCAGUGAAAUGCGUAGAUAUCGGGAGGAACACCAGUGGCGAAAGCGGCUACCUGGCCCAUUCUUGACGCUGAGGCGCGAAAGCUAGGGGAGCAAACGGG
rnacentral:rRNA from 1 species